UACAGAGGGUGCGAGCGUUGUCCGGAAUCACUGGGCGUAAAGGGCGCGUAGGUGGCGCGACAAGUCAGUGGUGAAAGUUCGACGCUCAACGUCGAAUCGGCCACUGAUACUGUUGGGCUUGAGCACUGUAGAGGCUAAUGGAAUUCCGGGUGUAGCGGUGGAAUGCGUAGAGAUCCGGAAGAACACCGGUGGCGAAGGCGGUUAGCUGGGCAGUUGCUGACACUGAGACGCGACAGCGUGGGGAGCAAACAGG
rnacentral:rRNA from 1 species